CAUACCACGUUGAAAGACCGGUUUCCGUAUGAUCACCGAAGUUAAGCAACGUUCAGCCUAGUCAGUACCUAGAUGGGUGACCAACUGGUAAUACCAGAUA